rnacentral:rRNA from 1 species
AUUGAACGCUGGCGGCAGGCCUAACACAUGCGAGUCGAGCGGAUGAAGGGAGCUUGCUCCUGGAUUCAGCGGCGGACGGGUGAGUAAUGCCUAGGAAUCUGCCUGGUAGUGGGGGAUAACGUCCGGAAACGGGCGCUAAUACCGCAUACGUCCUGAGGGAGAAAGUGGGGGAUCUUCGGACCUCACGCUAUCAGAUGAGCCUAGGUCGGAGUAGCUAGUUGGUGGGGUAAAGGCCUACCAAGGCGACGAUCCGUAACUGGUCUGAGAGGAUGAUCAGUCACACUGGAACUGAGACACGGUCCAGACUCCUACGGGAGGCAGCAGUGGGGAAUAUUGGACAAUGGGCGGAAGCCUGAUCCAGCCAUGCCGCGUGUGUGAAGAAGGUCUUCGGAUUGUAAAGCACUUUAAGUUGGGAGGAAGGGCAGUAAGUUAAUACCUUGCUGUUUUGACGUUACCAACAGAAUAAGCACCGGCUAACUUCGUG